GACGAACCGUGCGAACGUUGUUCGGAUUUACUGGGCGUAAAGGGCGCGUAGGCGGCCACUGCAAGUCAGUUGUGAAAUCUCCGGGCUUAACCCGGAAAGGUCAACUGAUACUGCAGGGCUAGAGUGCAGAAGGGGCAACUGGAAUUCUCGGUGUAGCGGUGAAAUGCGUAGAUAUCGAGAGGAACACCUGCGGCGAAGGCGGGUUGCUGGGCUGACACUGACGCUGAUGUGCGAAAGCCAGGGGAGCGAACGGG
rnacentral:rRNA from 1 species